GAGAUAUUAAGGUCUACCUGUUAAAUCAUGCAGUAAGGCAAAGGCAAACCUUUUGAGGCUGUGGAUGUCAGAGAUUGAAGAUCUGCCUUAAACAGUCAGAUCAAGUCGAGAUAUCCUGGAGGGAAAGGCAGUAAAUUAGCAUGUAUGAUAUUAGAGGACUUAAUCUGCCUAGAACCUGCUUUUUGUGGUGCUGCUGUCCUAUGCAUCAUUCACAGCAGCAGUUGAAGAGUAUUCUCCCCUGAGGUUUCUUGGGUGGAUGCGUUAAGUGCACUUCAGAUGUGAAGUGUAAAUAAAAUCAGAAGUAGAAGAGCCAGGGCAAGGAGAAGAAAAACAAAGGUUGGAUUUACCUCCUGGCACAACGUGAUAAAUAAAGAGUUGAGUCCCAUGUACUCAAUGGCGGUUUGCCUGGCUUACAUGAAGGUGAGGUUAGAACCUGCAGAAAAUAAGCGGUUACAGUAACUGGGUUUAAUCUGGAGAGGACUUGAGGGGAGACAAGUCUUCAUUUAUGCAGAAGCUUGGUGGAGGUUAAUGGUUGGUUCUUUGUAACUCUACCAAAUGGUACAAUAAAUGUUUUUAAAUUAGGGGAAAAAAAAAUAAAUCUGGUUAAGCAGUAAGAGGAAGCUCCAGCACCAGAGAUAGUAGAUUGCCUUGGGAAGCUGUGGAAUCUCUAUCACUGGAGGCUUUUAGAACAGUUUAAACAAAUUUCUGUCUGAAAUGACAUACGAUACUUCCUUGGGGUAAGAAUGGGGCCUGGACAGGCUCUUGAGGUCCCUUCUGGCUGUGUUUGCUGAUUGCUAGAGAUUAGGGUUACAAAGUGAAUUGAGACUGGCUAGCAGUGAAGGUCUGAGCUAGAAUCUGUCAUGGAAUAGUAGGAGUAGGAGAUUUGCUAACACUGAGGGCUGCAUAGCAAGGGAAAUAAUGGGAGUUCAGGGAAGAGCCCUUCAAGUAAGGCUGACAAGAUGGUCCUAGUAUUUUAAACGUUCAGCUCUUGUGUGAUUUGCUCUUCUGAGGCAAAGCAUCUCUACAGACACCAGCAAUUGUGAAACCUACCAUUUGAUGGCUGUGCUGUUACACAGAAAUGUAAACUGCAGAGUGAACUGUGCUGUUCUGUGAGUUACCAUUUGCCUUUGAAGGACCAACAACUUCACAAUCCUUAUUCAGCGAACAGAAGUGCUUCCCAAGUUGGUCUCUUGUCUAUGUUGCUGACUAAGGGUAUAGCAAUUCAAUUUUAGGUAUGUUGUGUGCAGAUAUUGUAAGUGUGUAGUUCUAAUUUUCAGCUAUUGCAGCACUAUAAAGAAAUCUAUGGUGUUGGACAGCCUCUUUCAGCUCUCAAUUGUUCUUCCAAAGGGAGGCUCCUCUCUCUUAAGAAAGGGUUAUUACAAAAGACUAUUUUCUGUUUCAAAGUAUUCACCAACCUUACAUUUUGCAUUGCAUAGACAUGAAAUGGCUCAAGUAUGGUGACAGCCAGCACUGAGUGUACACUGCCAAGGAACCAUAUUUAGCAGAUUGCCACGAAACGAUCAUGGUCUGAUUAACAGAGAACAAGUGCACUCACAAUUCACUAAGACCACGGAAGUAAUUAGUGAUGAGCUGAUCUAUGCACAAAGAAGCAAACAGAAAGGCAUUGUUAGAUCUACAUACAAGGAAAUGGAGAGAGGAAGAAAAAAAAUGAAGCCACUGAAGUAUGCCAAGUAUAGCUUAAGCACAUAGGAACAGGAGUGGGCAGUGAAAGAAAUUUCACUUUCAUGCUAACAGUAUUGUAGCAUCAGGAUGAAAAACAUAGAUCUAAUAUCACCAUUACAGCAACUGAGUUAUACUGAAGAUACUUUUGAAGUCAUGCUUCAGUCUGCCACAAAUAACUUGCCAACGUUAUACAAAUAUUUGGACAAACAAAUGUGCUCAGUGCCAUGCUCAGAAGGUCGGUAAUACUGAGUUUUUGUAGUAAAUAUUCAUUAAUGCAAAUCUAAGUUUGUAAGGGAACUCAUAUUUGAACUAUGAUUUGGAGAUAUUCAGUAUCUUCAUGUGGAGUACUGAGAAAAAGGAAUUGUGUGGUUACUAAUAUUGCAUAAUGAUUAAUAAAAAGGUCCUUUCACCCUUCCCUCAAGAAAAAAUUGUGAGUACUCAUGGCAUGUUUGGCAGGGAAAGCUUUGUAAGGUUUAUAUAACC
rnacentral:lncRNA from 1 species